UGACCACUUUCAAAAGCGAUUUGAGAGGUUAAGCCUACGGACAGGCCGGUCAACUGCCGC
rnacentral:sRNA from 1 species